AACAGGUCUCUCAAGGCCUGGGCCACAUCUCUCUCCAGAAGGACAUGCUGAUGUCCACAUUCCAAGGCCCAGAAAAGGACUUCAUUGGAGGCUCAAUCUUUGUCAAUGUCACCGUGUUCUCCUCAGGGGGUGAGACGGUGCAAGCCGAGACCUCAGGGAUGAAGAUCGUCCAGAGCCCAUACAACAUGAAGUUCACCAGGACACCCCAGUAUUUCAAGCCAGGAAUGCCCUUCCACUUUCGGGUCAGAGUCUGGACUCACUACAACCAGAGACUCAGGGCCCUCUCCCCAAAACAGACCUCCCACAAGGAGACAAAUCCCACACGGGACUCACCUGCCUCCAACUCAUCCGAAAGAUUCCACCCCAGGUCUUCGUCUCAAAUCCUGAUGGAUCCCCGGCUUCCAGAGUCCUUGUCCACUCCCCAAACCAGAAAAUGUACACCUCAACUGAGGCUUUGGCCACUUUGACCAUCAACACAGAUGUCAAUCUGGACAAGCUUCCCGUCCA
rnacentral:lncRNA from 1 species